UACGUAGGGUGCGAGCGUUAAUCGGAAUUACUGGGCGUAAAGCGUGCGCAGGCGGCGCUGUUAAGACAGGUGUGAAAGGCCCCGAGGCCUUAACUUCGGGAAUUGCGCUUGUGACUGGCGUGCUGGAGUGUGGCGAGAGGGAAGGUGGAAUUCCACGUGUAGCAGUGAAAUGCGUAGAGAUGUGGAAGGAACACCGAUGGCGGAAGGCAGCCUCCUGGGCCAGCACUGACGCUCAUGCACGAAAGCGUGGGGAGCAAACAGG
rnacentral:rRNA from 1 species